AUCAAUAAGCGGAGGAAAAGAAACCAACAGGGAUUGCCCUAGUAACGGCGAGUGAAGCGGCAACAGCUCAAAUUUGAAAUCUGGCUUCGGCCCGAGUUGUAAUUUGUAGAGGGAGCUUUUGGCGAGGCACCUACUGAGUCCCCUGGAACGGGGCGCCAUAGAGGGUGAGAGCCCCGUAUAGUAGGACGCCGAGCCUUUGUAAAGCCCCUUCGACGAGUCGAGUAGUUUGGGAAUGCUGCUCAAAAUGGGAGGUAAAUUUCUUCUAAAGCUAAAUAUUGGCCAGAGACCGAUAGCGCACAAGUAGAGUGAUCGAAAGAUGAAAAGCACUUUGAAAAGAGGGUUAAACAGCACGUGAAAUUGUUGAAAGGGAAGCGCUUGUGACCAGACUUGCGCCUGGCUGAUCAUCCGGUGUUCUCACCGGUGCACUCGGCCAGGCUCAGGCCAGCAUCGGUUCUCGCGGGGGGAUAAAGACCUGGGGAACGUAGCUCCUCCGGGAGUGUUAUAGCCCUGGGUGCAACGCCCUCGCGGGGACCGAGGUUCGCGCAUCUGCAAGGAUGCUGGCGUAAUGGUCAUCAGCGACCCGUCUUGAAACACGGACCAAGGAGUCAAGGUUUUGCGCGAGUGUUUGGGUGUUAAACCCGCACGCGUAAUGAAAGUGAACGUAGGUGAGAGCUUCGGCGCAUCAUCGACCGAUCCUGAUGUUUUCGGAUGGAUUUGAGUAGGAGCGUUAAGCCUUGGACCCGAAAGAUGGUGAACUAUGCUUGGAUAGGGUGAAGCCAGAGGAAACUCUGGUGGAGGCUCGCAGCGGUUCUGACGUGCAAAUCGAUCGUCAAAUCUGAGCAUGGGGGCGAAAGACUAAUCGAACCAUCUAGUAGCUGGUUACCGCCGA
rnacentral:rRNA from 1 species